rnacentral:rRNA from 1 species
GACGUAGGGUGCGAGCGUUGUCCGGAUUUAUUGGGCGUAAAGAGCUCGUAGGCGGCUUGUCGCGUCGACCGUGAAAACUUGGGGCUCAACCCCAAGCCUGCGGUCGAUACGGGCGAGCUAGAGUUCGGUAGGGGAGACUGGAAUCCUGGUGUAGCGGUGAAAUGCGCAGAUAUCAGGAGGAACACCGGUGGCGAAGGCGGGUCUCUGGGCCGAUACUGACGCUGAGGAGCGAAAGCGUGGGGAGCGAACAGG